GAACUUGACUCACUCAGGACGGAGAAGACCACAUCCUCUCUCUCAUUUCUGCUUUUCAUUAACAGGCGGUCGUGUGUGUUCAGAGUUCUAUGGACAUUAAUCACCUCCACAAACACCGAAGGAGACUUUCUAAUGCAGAAGAGUGUGUGCCGUCCCUGAGGUCAGCAAAGGUCAGCCAGAAGUGCUCAGGCCUCCUGGCUACUAUGUACAGUGGGUUGCAUCUGGCUGGAUGACCCACGAUGAGAAGACUCGGUGAGCUGCCGCCAUGAAGAAAUGAGGGUCAAGUUUCCUCUGUGGCUGGAGAAGACAUGAGGACCUUCUGCUCUCUGUUCAGUGGCCAGACAAACUAGACGAAGCCAGAGGCCUUGCGAACGGCUGGCAAGGCUUUCGUGAUUCCUUCUUCCCAGGUUUCAGGGGAACUCUUCAAGAGGGUCCCAGCCAUGAAGACUCCACGCCGGAGGAGACUAUUCCACACGGACUCCCCACAAGGGCAAGUUUGUGAGGAAAAAGAGAGGAGAACGUGGGAAGAAGGGCCGGACCCAGACGUGCUGAUGUCCAUUCUGAACCUCACUUGCCCUGGUUUCCGGGGCUCCACCCAGGCGCGUGGCCCUGGGAGGCCAAGACGUGGGAGGGAGGAGAGGUGAAGCCACCCCAACUCAACUUGGGAGAUCUGGGCAUUGCUCUCUUGACCUUCUGAGUGUCUUCUUUCCUUCAAAGUCAGUAGGAUUCGUCUGACCCGUUCCCCAAGCUCCCAGCACAGCCCCGUAUUACCCAGUUCUCCCCACACCUCGGGGCUGUCCUCUUUCUGCCAUCCGUGGCCGUGUGAUGACCCUGGGGCCCCAUGGGGGACUUCCUGGGAGAUGAAGACCACAUAAAAUACAGGGAAAUGAUGGGAAAACCCACUUCCUGCCCAUCCUGAGCCCCAGAAUGCUGGACACAGGCCCGGGCAGGCCUUCCUCUGUCUGUCCGUCCAUGUGUUCACUGAAGGCCACCAUGCUGUUUUGUGGGACUGGGUCGGAAGUCCCAGAAGACUGGGAACUAGCCGGCCACAGACAGGCACCAUCUCCUCUCACCCGGAGGCUGAUUUCCAGAGCUUGUAGGUAACAGAUCGGCCAGCAUGAGUCUAGCGGAACGCUCUGGUCAUGAACUUCACUUGCACUGGGCUAACGGCUGGCAUCAAUGUUUCAGGGGAGGCAGAAUCCCUUCUGGGCAGGGGACCUUCCGAUGGCUUACUUAGAGCAGUAUUCUUGUUUGCUGCCUCCGUUAGACCUGCUCGGCUUUCCUGAGGCUCCAAGUGUUUCUUGUGUUCAGACAAGUCCUGCCAAAUUAAGAACGCAGGCAGAGCCUUGGAGCACUGGAGGACUUCCAGGCAGAGCCCCUUUGCAAUUAGAGUAUAGUUUUAAUAGAGGAAGGAACUGUGUGUCAUGGGUGAAGAUAGAUGAACAUCGUCCUUGGGCCAACACAUGGUUUAGGGACAGAUUAAUGGCGCUGGCAGAAUCAGCUCACGAGGGGAGGAAAUUCAGGCCAAGAAUAAGGCCAAACUCUCCUCCUCUCAUGUAAGGCUGUGAUGCAGUCUCCGAAGAGCGCGGAGAUUGGCAGACAACCCCACAGCUGCACCGCAGUUGUGUCUGUGCAAGGACUCAGACCCUCGCCCUCACGAAAUGCGACACUCCAUCCCCAGAUCUGGGGCAGCAGUGACCAGGGGCCUGGGAGGGAGAGGUGGCCCCUGAGACCACAGCAGAAAAUACUGACUCGGAGGGGUGGGAGGUCCAGGAAUGUGGGUCAGGCUGAGACGCAAAUCCAGCCAGCACUCAUUCUCACCAUAAACCACGUGUCUGCUUUCUUCUCUAUGGAUUUCCAUAUUCUGGACAUUUCAUAUAAAGGUUCACACAUAGGGGGUCUUUUAUGUCUGGCUUCCUUCACUGAGCAUAAGUUUUCAAGUUCUAUGUCACGGCAUGAUCAGGCCUUGGGUUGGGGGUGUUAGUCCUUGAAACAACAAACCCAGCUACUAGCAGGUAUUCGUGCCCCCGUCUCCCUUCCAUUGUUCAGGGUUUGGUAGUUUUUUACGGGCAAAAUGAUUUAAUAGCUGGACAUUUGCACAUACAAGUCCCAUUUUUCCUUCCUAUGGUUUAGCUCAGAUUUUCACACUUCCAAUUGCACAACAGUUGGUGCACAGGGAUGUAUAUAAACAAAUGCAAAACAAACAAAAACACCCAACCUGAGUCUAUCGUACUUUGUGGGCUAUUUAAAGGCUGUCAAAGGUAAUCUGGAUGUCAACCAGUUUUGUGACUGGGGUCAAACUCUGCCCAGAGCCAGCCAGGAGUUGCAGUGAUGUUGCUUUGUGUUGUGUGUAGUUGCUGCGGACAGAAGGCGUGUGGCUUCUCCUCCAUUCGUGGUCAGGAGCCUUCCCUGAGCUGAGGUCUGCAGCCCUUUCCUGAUCUUCUUUUUGAAGAAUGUUAACAAGACAAGGCUGAUACUUCUGGGAUUUGACCCCAACAGGGUCUUUGCAGUUUCAGUUACUGUUCUUUAACUUGAAAGAUUUAGACAUUUCAUGUUGUCAAUUGCCCCAAGAUUGAUGAGGCCUGGGGAAACUGAUCUAUCCUCACUACACUUACAGGAGAUGGAUUUAAAGCCUGUAAUUUGGUUAAUUUACUGUUGGGGUUUGUAUCGGUCAGAAUAGGCUUGGCAACGUUGCUGUGAUGGCUUCAAACCUCGGACGCUUAAAGCAACAGAGCUGUUGUUCUUGUUGGUGCAAAGACCACUGCAGGCCUCCUCCAUGCGGUGGCUUGGUGUCACCUCCGCAGUCACUGCAUUUCUUCGACUGGUGAGACAGGGAGAGCGAGUGCACUGGAGGGUCUCCCUGCUGCCACUUAAAUGUUUCCCCCCGAAAUAACACAUGCCACCGCCACUCACAACUGCCAAAGCAAGUCAUGCAACCACAUCUGGACUUCAAGGAGCAGGGAAGAACAAUUCUUGGACUGCCUGGAAGGAAAGAACUGGAAAUGUUGGAAAGGAACAUUGAUGCCCCCAGAGGGACCUACCUUUCUGACACCUGGAAUCCCCACGCCUGUGUUCCCUCCAGGUGGUAAAGCACCUAAGAAAUGGGGUUACCAGGCA